rnacentral:misc_RNA from 1 species
GAUGAAGAACGCAGCGAAAUGCGAUACUUGGUGUGAAUUGCAGAAUCCCGUGAACCAUCGAGUCUUUGAACGCAAGUUGCGCCUCAAGCCAUUAGGUUGAGGGCACGUCUGCCUGGGCGUCACAUAUCGUUGCCUGAUGCCAGUUUCCUCGUGAUGGGUGACUGUGCAGGGCGAAUGAUGGCUUCCCGUGAGCAUUGUUGCCUCAUGGUUGGUUGAAAAUUGAGUCCUUGGUAGGGAGCGCCGUGAUAGAUGGUGGUUGAGUGACGAACGAGACCCAAUCAUGUGAGCCACCUACCGAAUUUGGCCUUCAUGACCCACAUGCGUCUUUGGAACGCUCAUGACGAGACCUCAGGUCAGGCGGGGCUACCCGCUGAGUUUAAGCAUAUCAAUAAGCGGAGGA